AAACUUUUCUUUUCCCAUUUCAGUUCACUUCUUUACAUGUUCUAUUGCUCACUAUAACUGUCUAAUUUGAUCCUAAGAACUUUUUUCUGUGUGUUGUAUGAAAAAGAUUCAAUCUUUUGGCAUUUGAAGCUAAAGGGGUUGUUCAGAUUACCUCAGUUCAUUUCUUUCUGUAUGUUGUAUGAAAAAGAUUCAAUCUUUUGGAAUUUGAAGCUAAAGGGGUUGUUUAGAUUACCUCAAUUCAUUUUGAUAGCUAGUGUUUUGAUCUGAGUGCCCCAUCUUAUUUAAAAUUUGUUCUUCAGUUUGGUGUAGCAUGGUUAGGUACUUUGAGGGGAAGUGACAAAGAUAGACAAUGAGCAGGUCUAGAAGGUUCUUGAAUGAAAGG
rnacentral:lncRNA from 1 species